rnacentral:rRNA from 1 species
CGGGCGGAAGUCGAGCGAGAAAAGGGGAGCAAUCCGGGCCUGAGUACAGCGGCGCACGGGUGAGUAACACGUGGGUAAUCUGCCCUGGAGUGGGGAAUAACACCGGGAAACCGGUGCUAAUACCGCAUACGAUCACAGAGUCUGCGGAUUGGGUUGUGAUGAAAGGAGCAAUUCGCUCUAGGAGGAGCCCGCGGCUGAUUAGCUAGUUGGUGAGGUAAUGGCUCACCAAGGCAACGAUCAGUAUCCGGUCUGAGAGGACGGUCGGACACACUGGAAAACUGAGACACGGUCCAGACUCCUACGGGAGGCAGCAGUGGGGAAUUUUGGGUGGCAAUGGGGAAGCAACCCUGACCAAGCAACGCCGCGUGCCAAGGUGAUGAAGUCUCUUGGGACGUACCGGAAACCCUUUCGACGGGGACGAAACCGCAAGGUUGACGGUACCCGUAGAAGAAGCCGGGCCGGCUAACUCCGUGCCAAAGCAGCCGCGGUAAUACGGGGGGGGCAAGCGUUGUUCGGAAUUACUGGGCGUAAAGGGCGCGUUAGGCGGUGCUCUAAGUCGGAUGUGAAAACUCUGGGCUCAACCCAGAGUUUCCUGCAUCCGAAACUGGAGUGAACUAGAGUUCUGGAGGGGGUAGCGGAAUUCCUGGUGUAGCGGUGAAAUGCGUAGAUAUCAGGAGGAACACCGGUGGCGAAGGCGGCUACCUGGACAGAAACUGACGCUGAGGCGCGAAAGCUAGGGGAGCAAACAGGAUUAAAGAUACCCUGGUAGUCCUAGCCCUAAACGAUGGAUACUUGGAAUGUGACUGGGAUUGAAUCCAGUCGUGCCGAAGCUAACGCAUUAAGUAUCCGGGCGCCUGGGGAGUACGAAGUCGCAAGGCUGAAACUCAAAGGAAUUGACGGGAGGCCCAAGCACAAGCGGUGGA